UGGGGAGUUAGUUCCUUCUUCUUGA
rnacentral:tRNA from 1 species